rnacentral:rRNA from 1 species
GGUUAAGCGACUAAGCGUACACGGUGGAUGCCCUGGCAGUCAGAGGCGAUGAAGGACGUGCUAAUCUGCGAUAAGCGCCGGUAAGGUGAUAUGAACCGUUAUAACCGGCGAUUUCCGAAUGGGGAAACCCAGUGUGACUCGUCACACUAUCAUUAACUGAAUCCAUAGGUUAAUGAGGCGAACCGGGGGAACUGAAACAUCU